CCGCGGUAAUUCCAGCUCCAAUAGCGUAUACUAAAGUUGUUGCGGUUAAAAAGCUCGUAGUUGGAUCUUGGAAUGUGUUCAAGCGGGUCAGCUUCUGGCUGUGCGCUGCUUGACGUGUUCUUCUAUUUGGUUUUGGUGCGGUGCGCUUAACUGCGUGUCGCUCCCGGCCGAAACGUUUACCUUGAAAAAAUUAGAGUGUUCAAAGCAGACCUGUUUGAGUCUGAAUAUUCGUGCAUGGAAUAAUGAAAUAUGAAUUCGGUUCUAUUUUGUUGGUUUUCGGAACUCGAGUUAAUGAUCAAGAGGGACAGACGGGGGCAUUCGUACUCUGCCGUUAGAGGUGAAAUUCUUGGAUCGGCGGAAGACGCGCAACUGCGAAAGCAUUUGCCAAGAAUGUUUUCUUUAAUCAAGAACGAUAGUCGGAGGUUCGAAGACGAUCAGAUACCGUCCUAGUUUCGACUGUAAACUAUGCCAGCUAACGAUCAGACAGAGUUCUCUACGACUUGUCUGGCAGUUUCCGGGAAACCAAAGCGUUUGGGUUCCGGGGGAAGUAUGGUUGCAAAGCUGAAACUUAAAGGAAUUGACGGAAGGGCACCACCAGGAGUGGAGCCUGCGGCUUAAUUUGACUCAACACGGGGAAACUCACCCGGCCCGGACACAGUGAGGAUUGACAGAUUGAGAGUUCUUUCUUGAUUCUGUGGGUGGUGGUGCAUGGCCGUUCUUAGUUGGUGGAGCGAUUUGUCUGGUUAAUUCCGAUAACGAACGAGACUCUGGCAUGUUAAAUAGUCGCGGAAGUGCGUAUGCACUUGCCGAAUUGACUUCUUAGAGGGACUAGUGAUUUUAAUUCACACGAGAUUGAGCAAUAACAGGUCUGUGAUGC
rnacentral:rRNA from 1 species